rnacentral:rRNA from 1 species
GAUGAACGCUGGCGGCGUGCCUAAUACAUGCAAGUCGAGCGAACAGACGAGGAGCUUGCUCCUUCGACGUUAGCGGCGGACGGGUGAGUAACACGUAGGUAACCUACCUAUAAGACUGGGAUAACUUCGGGAAACCGGAGCUAAUACCGGAUAAUAUUUCUAACCGCAUGGUUCGAUAGUGAAAGAUGGCUUUGCUAUCACUUAUAGAUGGACCUGCGCCGUAUUAGCUAGUUGGUAAGGUAACGGCUUACCAAGGCAACGAUACGUAGCCGACCUGAGAGGGUGAUCGGCCACACUGGAACUGAGACACGGUCCAGACUCAUACGGGAGGCAGCAGUAGGGAAUCUUCCGCAAUGGGCGAAAGCAUGACGGAGCAACGCCGCGUGAGUGAUGAAGGUCUUCGGAUCGUAAAACUCUGUUAUUAGGGAAGAACAAACGUGUAAGUAACUGUGCACGUCUUGACGGUACCUAAUCAGAAAGACACGGCUAACUACGUG